rnacentral:rRNA from 1 species
GACGAACGCUGGCGGCGUGCUUAACACAUGCAAGUCGAACGGAAAGGCCCGGCUUUUGUGGGCUGCUCGAGUGGCGAACGGGUGAGUAACACGUGCGUAACCUGCCCUUGACUUUGGGAUAACUUCAGGAAACUGGGGCUAAUACCUGAUACAAGCUCCUGCUGCUUGGUGGGGGUUGGAAAGUUUCGGCGGUUGGGGAUGGACUCGCGGCUUAUCAGCUUGUUGGUGGGGUAGUGGCUUACCAAGGCUUUGACGGGUAGCCGGCCUGAGAGGGUGACCGGCCACAGUGGGACUGAGAUACGGGCCAGAGUGCUACGGGAGGCAGCAGUGGGGAAUAGUGCACAAUGGGCGGAAGGCUGAUGCAGCAACGCCGCGUGCGGGAUGACGGCCUUCGGGUUGUAAACCGCUUUCGCCUGUGACGAAGCGGGAGUGACGGUAAUGGGUAAAGAAGCAACGGCUAACUACGUG